UACACAUUGUACCACAUUUC
rnacentral:snRNA from 1 species